ACAAAAUUACGAACAUACAAAAUUUAAACUUAUUUCCUCUAUAAAAGCAUUUACAUAAAUAUAUGCUUUGUUCAUUUUAGGCACUGUAGGAAGAGGUAAGGAAAUACAUUUUAUAUCUUUAGAAAGCUUCAAUUGUUAAAUAUUUCCACGCUUAUUUUGCUGAAGUAUUGAGGAUUCUACAUUUUUACAUUUGGAGAUAAAUGCGAUUGAAAAUGUCGUUCUUAAAUUGAAAUUCUCGGAGUUUAAACAUUUGUUAUUCUUAAGAUAUUUAAGAUAUUAAAUAAGAUAAGAUUAGAUUCAAGGAAAGAUAAGAUAAGAUAAGAUAAGAUUAGAAAAUUUUUUUUUAUUAAUAAGUCAAUCCUUGUGCACCACAAAGUACAGCACAAGGCUUACAGAAGUAAGUAGAAACAACUACAUACAUAGAUAAAAAUAUGUACAUAUAAAAAUAAGGAUAAAAACAGCAGGAAAAAAUAAACAACAAAACUAAUUAAAAAUUGAAGCAGAAAAGGCAAUACAUUUACAGAAUGAGAAAAAAGCCAUUUUGUAGUCGACCAAAACAUGAAGCGGAGGUGGAAACUUAAUAUUACAGGCAUCGAGAUCCACAAUAAAAUCUCUUCUCCCUUCAGUAAGUUUGGAGCAAUCAAAAAGCAAGUGUUCGACAUUUUGAACUCCACCCACGCUGCAAGAGCACAGAUCAGUGUUCGAUAAUCCAAAUUUCUUGAGAUAGUAAUUGAAAUUACCGUAUCCAGUAAGCAGUUUUGUUAAGUGGAAAUCACUGAAAAAAUGCUUGCUAUUCAACCUUUGAGAAAUUCUGGGGAAAAAUAAUUUGGUUAAAGAGGCAGUUGACGAAUUUUGGUACAGCUCAUUCCAUAAGAGAAUGGCCUUUUUUGCGAUUCUCAUUACGAAUGUCAGAUUUGGGGAUGCUCACAGGAUCAAUGAUGUUUAGCUUUGUAGGUUGCUCUUUCAUUUCCUAAAAUGCCAGACUGACCUCGGACAUGAGAAAAACAGACACUAAUUCCUCUUGCUUUAAGCUCGUAAAGAGUGAUUUGAAAAUUCACUACAAUUUUGUUGCAGGAAGAAAUAUUACUAAGCAAAAAUAAGGAUGAGACAGAAUCAGUACAAAUAAAGAUUCUGGAUGACAGAGUACAGUGGUUUGAUUAGAUACUUUGCAGUUAAAAUUAUUUUCAGAUUUUUUUUGAUAUUUUUUUAUGACAAAUUGAUUAUACAAUCCUUUGGCAAAAUUAAUAUUUAGGAUGAAUUUUAAUAAACCAACAACUUCGAAUUCAAAUGACUUUUGAGACGUUGUGGAAAAUAUUACUAAGUUCUAUAUUGAAAAGAUUAUAGAUAAGAAAUUUAAUGAGUGAGGCUUUCAAAAAGGAAACUUUAAGAGAUAAUACAAUAGCCCAGCCUAUUCCCCCCUCCCCACCUGAAAAAAAUAACGAAAGCCUUGGAAUUAUUCUGCGCAUAAUCAUAACUUACAAAUUUUCAUUUCAGUUCUUUUACUUUUAUUCCUCUAGAAAAUAAAAUUUAGAAGUAGAAGUUUUAAUGUUGGAAACAAUUUCCACAGUGCUAUUGUCAUAUUUUCAUCACAUAAAUAUCAAUUUGUAAAAAAAAGUGAUCUUAAUUUGAAGCUAAGUUGGCUGGAAUUGAAAAUUAGAUGAAUGUAACAAAAAGCGAGAAGACAAAUUAAAAAACGAAUGAAGUGAAAUUAGACAAUUUUCGUUUACGAUCUCUUUUAUAGUACACAUUCGUAGCGACAUCUCGUGAGACUCCGAGAAACUAUUUUAAUUGAAAUUUCUAGAUUAAUUAAAACUCACCUUAUUACUAUUUUCUUCCCUUUAUAUGUCAAAAUUUUUCAAAUAGCAAUAUUUUUUGAGAAAGACGAUAUAAUACUGCUAUCAAAUAGAGCUUUCAAUUUUAUAAUUAACUUUUUAAUGGUUUUAAAUUUCAGUCAAUUUGAAUAAGAAAUAGCAACGGAUAACGCUACACUUAGAAUUUAUUUCUUAUAUUCUGAAAAAUAAAAUAUUUAUUUGAAAGUUUGAAAAAGUAUUUAACAGGAUUGAUUGCAUAUUGAACUUUUUAAUGAAAUCUUUAAAUGUAUUUGGUAUUCUUACAGAAUCCGAGAAACUUAAAUAUUUCUUUAUAAUUGAUAUGACUGCGAACAACUGAUAAUAGAUAAACUAUCUUAAUAAUUAGAGUAGAUUCGCUGUUUUAGGGAAUUAAGUUCGAUCUAGUAUUGGAGAUAGAGAUAAUGCUUCGAAAAUUCAUUGAAAUUUUGAGAAAAAAAUGUUUUAGAGUAAUCCUCAUCAAUAGUAAAUAUCCGUAAUUGUUUUCCAUUCUAAAAGGAUAAUCAAACUUUCAAAUAUGUAAUUCACAUCAAAACAAGCAAUUUUUAUAAUAUUUUGGUAAGUUCACAGUAAAACAGAAAAAAAAAUAUGAUAGAAUAUUAAUAAUAUGAAGAUGCAUACAUUCCUGAAAUAAGCAUCAUCCCAUUCGUUACAUGCUGUGUGAAGGGGUAAUUGCAUUGGGGAAAAAUAAUAAUUGAGGGCAUAUGAAUGUUCUUAGUGAAUAUCAGUACUUCUUUCAAUAUUCACUAGUAUAUCAGCACUACUUUUUUUACCAUUGGGGGGAGUGGGAGAGUAUCAUACUUUUGCCAACCCAUUCGUCAGAUUUAUGGCUUAACCUCUUUUCGUGUGGCUCUCUUUCGUUUAUGGAAGCUAGAGCAUAGGCCGCUGUUUCUGUGUGCGAGAGUACAGUUUUUCUCCAGAGAUCAUCCUUCAUCCAUCAGUUCUUCUAUUGUCACUGUGAGACAUGUUUUGAAAUUGACGAUUGUGGCAUUCCUUGUAAUAAAUAUGGCAUAAUAAGAUAUGAAAUCAUCGUUUCUAUAUCAUUUUUGUAUUUUUGCUUGCUAGAUCAAGUUCCAUAUUUUGAGUUCUCUACUUCUGUAGUUUUCAACCAUGCCUCUGCAAAUUAUAACGAAAUAUACUCGAUUCCGUGGAUAUCACCGCCUUUUUACGUAUAGAUAUAUAUAUAAUUUUUUGCAUUACUCUGAGUUAUUUUUCUGCGCAUUUCAUAUUUCUACCGAGAUGAUAUUUUCCAACAGUACUAAUUAAUUUUAAUUUUGAAGGUAAAGGUGAUACAGGCAUAGCUACAGGAGUUGGCCGAAUAAUUCGUGGUGCUUUAACAGGAGCUGGCAACAUCGUUGGAGGUGUAUUAGGUUAGAUGGAACUACAAAAAGCCAUUAUAAUAAGAUGCCUCAUUUACAAUAUUACACUCAUCAACGGAGAAGAAAAGAAUUGAACUUCAAAGUAUUAAAAUAUGUUCAAAGAGAUCAAAUAAAAUAUAUAUUAUAA